UGGCUUUGUGGGACUGUAGCUCACCCUGCUCUUUGCUCUGGGCCUGGCUGAAGCUGGCUCACUGGCACAGAUGUUGUCCCUUUUGUUGUGGGAUCUAGUUUGGGCAUCUUUACUGAAAGAUCUCUUGCGUCUUUCUUUGCUUUUCCCCUGUUUGUUUUAAAAGAAGAGGCUUUGAAAGUAGCCUUUAAUACCUCUGAAAAUACUAAAAACAUUUUGUAAAUACAAAUAAACUCAUGUGGUACAGAAGGUAUAAAACUGAAAGUAAAAGCUCCCCUCAGCAGAUUCCUUCUAGUUCCGCUUGCCAGAGUCUGCCACUGUUAACAAUAUUUUACCUAUCCUUCCAGAAGUUUUCUGUGUAUCUAGGAGUGUGUGUGUCUUUCACAAACAGAAUUAUACAAUAUUUUAUUUUGCAAGGUGUUUUUUUCACUGAACUAAUAGCUGCCUAGUAUUCUGUUUUAUGCAUAUACCAAAAUUAACCAUUCCCCUUUUUAUAACACUUAUUCACUGCUGUUUAACAAGUUUCCACUGUUACAAGCAGUCCUGAAGUGAAUAUUCUCAUAUACACACUUUUUUCUUGCACACUUCUUCUUCUUUUUUUUUUUUUUAAUUUAUUUGACAGGGAGAGAGAGAGGGAACACAAGCAGGGGGAGUGGGAGAAGGAGAAGCAGGCUUCCGGCUGAGCAGGGAGCCUGAUGCGGAGCUCGAUCCCAGGACCCCGGGAUCAUGACCUGAGCCGAAGGCAGACGCUUAACGACUGAGCCACCCAAGUGCCCCUCUUGCACACUUCUGUUAGUUUAUCUCUAGGAUAAAUUCCUAGAAGUAGAACUGAUAGAGAUGGAAGGAUAUACACAUUAACAUUUUUGGUGGGUAUUGCAAAGUUGUUCUGCAUAAAGGCUGCCCCACUGAUUUUUUUUUUUUUUUUUAAGAUUUUAUUUAUUUAUUUGACAGAGACAGUGAGAGCAGGAACACAAACAGGGGGAGUGGGAGAGGGAGAAGCAGGCUUCCCGCUGAGCAGGGAGCCCGAUGUGGGACUUGAUCCCAGGACUCUGGGAUCAUGACCUGAGCCGAAGGCAGAUGCUUAACGACUGAGCCACCCAGGCACCCUGUCCCACUGAUUUGAGAGUAUCUGUUUCCCCUAGCAACACUGGGUACUAUCAAACUUAAAGUUUUGUUAAUCUGCUAAAUGAAAACCGGUAUUUUAUUUUAUUUUGGAAUUUUAAAAUCAGGGAAAGAAUAUUGGCUUCAACUUGUUUGUUAGCUAUUUGUAUUCAUUUCUUUUAACUUACUAUUUAUAUCCUUUUUUCAUAAUUAUAUUUCUGUUGGACUGUUUAUUCUCUUUUCUUCUUAGUAUAGCCCUUUUGACUAUCUUUUUAACAAUUAGUG